AUGCUGUCGUCAAAACCUUUCAGGCUUUUUCUUCUUCCCCACCCCGAGUCCCUUCAGCUGCCGUCUCUGGGAGCACCAAGGGUGGGGGGAGGGCUCUCCGCCUGUGUCCUCAAGCACGUGGUGGCUCUGGUGGCAGCAGCUGGCCCCUGCCACUCAGCGGGAGGCCAGCCUUCAGGGGAAGGGGCCUCCUGGUCUGCCGACUGCUCACCGCCUCUCCCCUGUCCCUCCGUCCCUCCGUGCCCCUCAGGAGAUCCCCUGCGAGCUCACGCUGGAUGCCCUGCUGGAGAUGAACGAGGCCAAGGUCAAGGACACGCUGCGGCGCUGCGGGGCCAGCGCCGAGGAGUGCGGCCGCCUGCAGUACGCCCUCACCUGCCUGCGGAAGGUGCCGGGCCUGGGAGGGGAGCACAAAGAGGACUCGGGCUGGAGCAUGUCCGACGCUCGGCGGGAAAGCGGCUCGGGGCCCCCCACGGACACCCUCCCUCCGGCCGGCCUGGCCUGGCCCCCGGGCAGCGCCGCGCUGGGCAGAGUGGGCAACGGCGCCCAGGGCCCGCGCUCCGUCUCCGUGUCGGCUCUGCCCGCCUCGGACUUGCCGGCCCCUGGCCUCAGCGAGGGCCUCUCGGACACCUGUGUCCCCCUGCACGCCAGCGGCCGGCUCACGCCCCGCGCCCUGCACAGCUUCCUCACCCCGCCCACCACGCCGCAGCUGCGCCGGCACGCCAAGCUGAGGCCGCCGCGGACGCCCCCGCCGCCCAGCCGCAAGGUCUUCCAGCUGCUGCCCAGCUUCCCCACGCUCACCAGGAGCAAGUCCCACGAGUCCCAGCUGGGGAACCGCAUCGACGACGUCGCCCCGGGGAGGUGAGAUCUCCUGCACGGAUCCCCACAGAUGGUACGAAGGGACAUCGGGCUCUCGGUGACACACAGGUUCUCCACGAAGUCCUGGCUGUCGCAAGUCUGCCACGUGUGCCAGAAAAGCAUGAUGUUUGGAGUGAAGUGCAAGCAUUGCAGGUUGAAGUGUCACAACAAGUGUACAAAAGAAGCCCCCGCCUGCAGAAUAUCCUUCCUUCCACUAACAAGGCUUCGGAGGACGGAGUCAGUCCCGUCGGACAUCAACAACCCGGUGGACAGAGCGGCAGAGCCCCAUUUCGGAACCCUCCCCAAAGCGCUGACAAAGAAGGAGCACCCUCCGGCCAUGAACCACCUGGACUCCAGCAGCAACCCAUCCUCCACCACCUCCUCCACGCCUUCCUCGCCAGCGCCCUUCCCGACGUCGUCCAACCCCUCCAGUGCUACCACGCCGCCCAACCCCUCGCCUGGCCAGCGGGACAGCAGGUUCAACUUCCCAGCUGCCUCCUUCAUUCAUCAUAGACAGCAGUUUAUCUUUCCAGGUGAGUCCUUUGCAUGGUUCCACUAACUACCUCUUGCUGCAGCCCUUCUGUCCAGCCUACCUGGGUGCCCUCUCCCUGGGCGCUUCUGGAGGUAUUUGAGUCUCCCUCCACCUGUUUUGAGAGCUGACUGCCCAUUGAGGAUCAGAAGGGGACAGGGCAAGUGUCCUGGAGGUGGGCUCCUUCCAUGAGCAGUCCUUGCUAGGAGAGAUCCUGGAAUCCAUCCUGUCCUGCCUUUUGCACAGAGACUGCAGGCAAUUUUUUCAAGGUCACACAGCCAGGAGGUGGCAGAAGCAGGACUAGAACCUGGUUUUGCAGAAUGGAGGAGGAGAAUUUUUGCUGGUGCCUUAUGAGCAGCUGUCACCAUAUCCUACCCUACAUACACAAUGACAGUAAACUACUACCUUAUCUUACAGAAGUGGAAACCAAUUUGGGAAGGUCUGCAGGCUUCAAAUUUGUCCAAUGCUUUACAACACAGUGCCAUCUGCUGGCCAUCACUGGAAGUGCCUCCUUUUGAAGAAAAUUUAAAGGAAAAAACUUUUCAAUUUAAUAAUAUAGUCCAGUCCAUUGAUUCCCUUUCAGAAAAAUUGUUUUGCACACCUACUAUGUGCCAACCUUUGCCUUUGACCAUAUUUCUUCCCCUAAGGAGUUUAUAAGAUCAGUGCUUUUUUCCUCUAGGUGAAGGUAUCAAGCAUGGUGGUGUUUAAACAAAGACUAUAGCUGCUUGGUUUUUUUCUUGGAUUAAACAGGACUGUCUUGAAGUUACAGUAUUUUGGUUAUUCCAGGAUUUUCUGUUCCCCCAGCCCAGCUGCAUUAGGUGAUUGACUGGGAGCACUUGUGGCCCCACGGGGGCUUCCUGGGAAUAGCCGAGCUGCCUCUGUGCUUUCACGCCCGGUUUGCUGCAGUUCCCCUCCAAGUGCCUCCCUGGUUACUCGCUCUAGGACGCAUUCAGCGGAGCACCCCAAAGCAUUGGGAAAACAUGGCUCUUCUUCCCGAAGGGCCCAUUUUGCCCUGAAGAUAUGUUGAGGGGAAGGAAAGGAAAUCUAUUUCUAUUAAAACAAACACAGACACAUUUUAGGGGGAAAUGCACAAUACACUCUU
ensembl:lincRNA